AAUCAACGCUGGCGGCGUGCCUCAGACAUGCAAGUCGUACGCGAAAGGCCCCUUCGGGGGCUGAGUAGAGUGGCGUCCGGGUGAGUAACACGUGGGCAAUCUGCCUCUGGGUGGGGAAUAACCCGGGGAAACCCGGGCUAAUACCGCAUACGGCGGCGCAGCCUGCGGGCCGCGUCGUGAAAGCGGGGGACCUCGGCAACGAGGCCUCGCGCCCGGAGAGGAGCCUGCGGCGGAUUAGCUAGUUGGUGAGGUAACGGCUCACCAAGGCGACGAUCCG
rnacentral:rRNA from 1 species